CUUGCUAUCCAGAGAGCGGCGUACGGGUGCGUAACACGUGUGCAACCUACCUUUAUCUGGGGGAUAGCCUUUCGAAAGGAAGAUUAAUACCCCAUAAUAUGGUGUCCGGCAUCGGUCGCCAUUGAAAGCCUCGGCGGAUAGAGAUGGGCACGCGCAAGAUUAGAUAGUUGGCGGGGUAACGGCCCACCAAGUCGAUGAUCUUUAGGGGUCCUGAGAGGGAGAUCCCCCACACUGGUACUGAGACACGGACCAGACUCCUACGGGAGGCAGCAGUGAGGAAUAUUGGACAAUGGGUGGAAGCCUGAUCCAGCCAUCCCGCGUGAAGGAUGACGGUCCUAUGGAUUGUAAACUUCUUUUGUACAGGGAUAAACCUGCCCUCGUGAGGGCAGCUGAAGGUACUGUACGAAUAAGCACCGGCUAACUCCGUGCCAGCAGCCGCGGUAAUACGGAGGGUGCGAGCGUUAUCCGGAUUUAUUGGGUUUAAAGGGUCCGUAGGCGGGCCUGUAAGUCAGUGGUGAAAUCUCAUAGCUUAACUAUGAAACUGCCAUUGAUACUGCAGGCCUUGAGUAAAUUUGAAGUGGCUGGAAUAAGUAGUGUAGCGGUGAAAUGCAUAGAUAUUACUUAGAACACCGAUUGCGAAGGCAGGUCACUAAGAUUUAACUGACGCUGAUGGACGAAAGCGUGGGGAGCGAACAGGAUUAGAUACCCUGGUAGUCCACGCCGUAAACGAUGCUAACUCGUUUUUGGAUCUUCGGGUUCAGAGACCAAGCGAAAGUGAUAAGUUAGCCACCUGGGGAGUACGUCCGCAAGGAUGAAACUCAAAGGAAUUGACGGGGGCCCGCACAAGCGGUGGAUUAUGUGGUUUAAUUCGAUGAUACGCGAGGAACCUUACCAAGACUUAAAUGGGAAUUGACAGAUUUAGAAAUAGAUCCUCCUUCGGGCAAUUUUCAAGGUGCUGCAUGGUUGUCGUCAGCUCGUGCCGUGAGGUGUUAGGUUAAGUCCUGCAACGAGCGCAACCCCUGCCAACAGUUGCCAUCAUUCAGUUGGGGACUCUGUUGGGACUGCCUACGCAAGUAGAGAGGAAGGUGGGGAUGACGUCAAAUCAUCACGGCCCUUACGUCUUGGGCCACACACGUAAUACAAUGGCCGGUACAGAGGGCAGCUACCUGGUGACAGGAUGCGAAUCUCGAAAGCCGGUCUCAGUUCGGAUUGGAGUCUGCAACUCGACUCUAUGAAGCUGGAAUCGCUAGUAAUCGCGCAUCAGCCAUGGCGCGGUGAAUACGUUCCCGGGCC
rnacentral:rRNA from 1 species